UGCAUAUCCAAAAGCGGAGGAAAAGAAACCAACAGGGAUUGCCCUAGUAACGGCGAGUGAAGCGGCAACAGCUCAAAUUUGAAAUCUGGCUCUUUCAGAGUCCGAGUUGUAAUUUGCAGAGGGCGCUUUGGCUUUGGCAGCGGUCCAAGUUCCUUGGAACAGGACGUCACAGAGGGUGAGAAUCCCGUACGUGGUCGCUAGCUAUUGCCGUGUAAAGCCCCUUCGACGAGUCGAGUUGUUUGGGAAUGCAGCUCUAAAUGGGAGGUAAAUUUCUUCUAAAGCUAAAUAUUGGCCAGAGACCGAUAGCGCACAAGUAGAGUGAUCGAAAGAUGAAAAGCACUUUGGAAAGAGAGUCAAACAGCACGUGAAAUUGUUGAAAGGGAAGCGCUUGCAGCCAGACUUGCUUGCAGUUGCUCAUCCGGGCUUUUGCCCGGUGCACUCUUCUGCAGGCAGGCCAGCAUCAGUUUGGGCGGUGGGAUAAAGGUCUCUGUCAUGUACCUCUCUUCGGGGAGGCCUUAUAGGGGAGGCGACAUACCACCAGCCUAGACUGAGGUCCGCGCAUCUGCUAGGAUGCUGGCGUAAUGGCUGUAAGCGGCCCGUCUUGAA
rnacentral:rRNA from 1 species